rnacentral:ncRNA from 1 species
UUUCCCUCAGGAUAGCUGGAGCCCACACGAGUUCUAUCGGGUAAAGCCAAUGAUUAGAGGCAUCGGGGGCGCAACGCCCUCGACCUAUUCUCAAACUUUAAAUAGGUAGGACGGCGCGACUGCUUCGGUGAGCCGUGCCACGGAAUCGGGAGCUCCA